UACGUAGGGUGCGAGCGUUAAUCGGAAUUACUGGGCGUAAAGCGUGCGCAGGCGGUUUUGUAAGUCUGUCGUGAAAGCCCCGGGCUCAACCUGGGAAUUGCGAUGGAGACUGCAAGGCUUGAAUCUGGCAGAGGGGGGUAGAAUUCCACGUGUAGCAGUGAAAUGCGUAGAGAUGUGGAGGAACACCGAUGGCGAAGGCAGCCCCCUGGGUCAAGAUUGACGCUCAGGCACGAAAGCGUGGGGAGCAAACAGG
rnacentral:rRNA from 1 species